rnacentral:scRNA from 1 species
UGACGGGAAAAUGUCAUAAUGUGGUUGGCGAU